GAUAGCAUUUCCCAUCGGAAUUUCGUUUCUUCUUUAGUUCUGCAAAUAUACUGCAGCAGCUAAAUAUUACUUAAGCAAGCUAAUUGAGUCAUCUCUUCACUCUUUGUAGGCAGAGAAAUAUUUCUCGAAGAGAUAAUCUACUAGUGCUUUGCUAAUCUCCUUUUUAUUUAUUGUGAUUUGAUCCAUGAGUCUUUAACCUUUGCCCGCUUGAACACAGCAUCAUACAAGUACUAACCUAUCUUUAACUAUGUUGCAAUGCAAAGAAAAUUGAAAAUUUCCCAUCUAAUUGAACCAAAAUUCAUCAUCUACUCUUCAACCAAAAAAAUCAUUGGAUUUGGAGAAUAAGGGGAAGAAAAAGAAGAGAACUUAGAACACAAAAUUAAACAAACUACUUCCACUCACACCACAAAUUUGAAUCUAAAGUAACGAACAAAGCAAAACCCAGAAGAGCAGGAAGUGAGGGAACGUACAAGAUGGGUUUGGAAGGUGGGUUAUGGAGGAGAGAUUCAAGGCGAUCAAGCUUGACU
rnacentral:misc_RNA from 1 species